CCUACGGGUGGCAGCAGUAAGGAAUAUUGGUCAAUGGAGGAAACUCUGAACCAGCCAUCCCGCGUGAAGGAUGAAGGGGCUCUGCCUUGUAAACUUCUUUUGUCUGGGGCGAAAAAGCUCGAUUUAUCGAGAACUGACGGUACCAGAAGAAUAAGCACCGGCUAACUCCGUGCCAGCAGCCGCGGUAAUACGGAGGGUGCAGGCGUUAUCCGGAAUCACGGGGUCUAAAGCGUCUGUAGGCGGCAGAGUUGAAAGGCUGUGGCUUAACCAUGGAAUUGACAUUGAUACUGCAGAGCUUGAAUGAGGUUGAGGUUGGCGGAAUGUGACAUGUAGCGGUGAAAUGCUUAGAUAUGUCAUGGAACACCGAUUGCGAAGGCAGCUGACUGGACCUAUAUUGACGCUGAGGCACGAAAGCGUGGGGAGCGAACAGGAUUAGAUACCCGGGUAGUC
rnacentral:rRNA from 1 species